AGGAUGAACGCUGGCGGCGUGCCUAACACAUGCAAGUCGAACGCGCUCCAUUCGGUAGCAAUACUGAUGAAGAGUGAGUGGCGAACGGGUGAGUAACACAUGAGCAACCUGCCCCGAAGACUGGGACAACACCGGGAAACCGGUGCUAAUACCGGAUAUCCCUAUCGGACCGCAUGAUCUGAUAAGGAAAUGUUUUUUCGCUUCGGGAGGGGCUCGUGGCCUAUCAGCUAGUUGGUGAGGUAAUAGCUCACCAAGGCGUCGACGGGUAGCUGGUCUGAGAGGACGAUCAGCCACACUGGGACUGAGACACGGCCCAGACUCCUACGGGAGGCAGCAGUGGGGAAUCUUGCGCAAUGGGCGAAAGCCUGACGCAGCAACGCCGCGUGGAGGACGAAUGCUUUCUGAGUUGUAAACUCCUUUCAGCAGGGACGAUUGUGACGGUACCUGCAGAAGAAGCACCGGCCAACUACGUGCCAGCA
rnacentral:rRNA from 1 species